ensembl:lncRNA
GUAUUUAUUCUAAUGGGUGUUCUAAUGAGGCAGUUAUUCUGAUGGGUGUUCCAAUGAGGCAGUUAUUCUGAUAUGGUUCUAAUGAGGUAUUUAUUCUGAUGGGUGUUCUAACGAGGCAGUUAUUCUGAUGGGGUUCUAAUGAGGUAGUUAUUCUGAUGGGGGUUCUAAUGAGGCAGUUAUUCUGAUGGGGUUCUAAUGAGGUAUCUAUUCUGAUGGGGUUCUAAUGAGGCAGUUAUUCUGAUGUUGUUCUAAUGAGGUAGUUAUUCUAAUGGGGGUUCUAAUGAGGUAGUUAUUAUGAUGGGGGUUCUAAUGAGGUAGUUUUUAUGAUGGGGUUCUAAUGAGGCAGUUGUUCUGAUGAGGCAGUUAUUCUGAUGGGGGUUCUAAUGAGGUAGGUAUUCUGAUUGGGGUUCUAACGAGGCAGUUAUUCUGAUGGGGUUCUAAUGAGGUAUCUAUUCUGAUGGGCUUCUAAUGAGGUAGUUAUUCUGAUGGGGGUUCUAAUGAGGCAGUUAUUCCAAUGGGAUUAUAAUGAGGCAGUUAUUCUGAUGGUGUUCUAAUUAGGCAGUUAUUCUGAUGGGGUUCUAACGAGGCAGUUAUUCUGAGGGGGUUCUAACGAGGCAGUUAUUCUGAUGGGGUUCUAACGAGGCAGUUAUUCUGAGGGGGUUCUAAUGAGAUAGUUAUUCUGAUGGGGUUCUAAUGAGGUAUCUAUUCUGAUGGGCUUCUAAUGAGGUAGUUAUUCUGAUGGGGUUCUGAUGAGGCAGUUAUUCUGAUGGAGGUUCUAAUGAGGUAGUUAUUCUGAUGGGGGUUCUAAUGAGGUAGUUAUUCUGAUGGGGUUCUAAUGAGGCAGUUAUUCUGAUGGGGUUCUAAUGAGGCAGUUCUCUGAUGGGGUUCUGAUGAGGCAGUUAUUCUGAUGGGGUUCUAAUGAGGCAGUUAUUCUGAUGGGGUUCUAAUGAGGCAGUUAUUCUGAUGGGGUUCUAACG